rnacentral:lncRNA from 1 species
UGAGUGCAAAAAAUAAAUUUUCUUUAAGAUAGGGUUGUUGUAUAUUAAAUGAAAGGUCAUGAUGUGUACAUUGGAAAUAUCAAAUCCCGACCUCCAAAAAUUAGUUGGAUAGGGUUAUUAAGUGCAAAAAUCAAACUUUCUAGAACAUAGAGUUGUUGCAUAUCAAAUGAAAGCUCAUCUACUCUAUGUUAUUUAUAUCAUAAUUCCGAUCUCAAAAAUGUAGGCGGAUGAGGUCAUUAAGUGUUAAAAGUGGAAAGUUUCAGAAGGUAUGCUUGUCGUAUAUCAAACGAAAGGUGUACAAGGUACAUUACGAAAACAUCACUUUUACAGGAAAGACCUUUCAAUUGUUUUACAAACAAUUGAGAUACUAGUUUAAAUGUUACAUUACGAAAACAUCACUUUUACAGGAAAGACCUUUCAAUUGUUUUACAAACAAUUAAG